rnacentral:rRNA from 1 species
AUUGAACGCUGGCGGCAUGCUUUACGCAUGCAAGUCGAACGGCAGCGCGGGGCAACCUGGCGGCGAGUGGCGAACGGGUGAGUAAUAUAUCGGAACGUACCCUGGAGUGGGGGAUAACGUAGCGAAAGUUACGCUAAUACCGCAUACGAUCUAAGGAUGAAAGUGGGGGAUCGCAAGACCUCAUGCUCCUGGAGCGGCCGAUAUCUGAUGAGCUAGUUGGUAGGGUAAAAGCCUACCAAGGCAUCGAUCAGUAGCUGGUCUGAGAGGACGACCAGCCACACUGGAACUGAGACACGGUCCAGACUCCUACGGGAGGCAGCAGUGGGGAAUUUUGGACAAUGGGCGCAAGCCUGAUCCAGCAAUGCCGCGUGAGUGAAGAAGGCCUUCGGGUUGUAAAGCUCUUUUGUCAGGGAAGAAACGGGUCUUUCUAAUACAGAGGCCUAAUGACGGUACCUGAAGAAUAAGCACCGGCUAACUACGUGCCAGCAGCCGCGGUAAUACGUAGGGUGCAAGCGUUAAUCGGAAUUACUGGGCGUAAAGCGUGCGCAGGCGGUUUUGUAAGUCUGUCGUGAAAUCCCCGGGCUCAACCUGGGAAUGGCGAUGGAGACUGCAA